rnacentral:rRNA from 1 species
AUAGGGGAGCCGUAGGGAAACCGAGUCUUAAUAGGGCGUUUAGUUGCUGGGUAUAGACCCGAAACCGGGUGAUCUAUCCAUGAGCAGGUUGAAGGUUAGGUAACACUGACUGGAGGACCGAACCCACUGUCGUUGAAAAGCCAGGGGAUGACUUGUGGAUAGGGGUGAAAGGCUAAUCAAACUCGGUGAUAGCUGGUUCUCCCCGAAAGCUAUUUAGGUAGCGCCUCGGACGAAUACCAUUGGGGGUAGAGCACUGUUUCGGCUAGGGGGUCAUCCCGACUUACCAAACCGAUGCAAACUCCGAAUACCAAUGAGUACUAUCCGGGAGACAGACUGCGGGUGCUAACGUCCGUAGUCAAGAGGAAAACAAUCCAGACCGCCAGCUAAGGCCCCUAAAUUAUAGUUAAGUGGGAAACGAUGUGGGAAGGCAUAGACAGCUAGGAGGUUGGCUUAGAAGCAGCCACCCUUUAAAGAAAGCGUAAUAGCUCACUAGUCGAGUCGGCCUGCGCGGAAGAUGUAACGGGGCUAAAACUAUAUGCCGAAGCUGCGGAUUUGCAAUUUAUUGCAAGUGGUAGGGGAGCGUUCUGUAAGCCGAUGAAGGUGGAUUGAGAAGUCUGCUGGAGGUAUCAGAAGUGCGAAUGCUGACGUGAGUAACGACAAAGCGGGUGAAAAACCCGCUCGCUGAAAGACCAAGGGUUCCAGUCCAACGUUAAUCGGGGCUGGGUGAGUCGACCCCUAAGGCGAGGCCGAGAGGCGUAGUCGAUGGGAAAUUGGUUAAUAUUCCAAUACUUCUGUUUAAUGCGAUGAGAGGACGGAGAAGGUUAAGUCAGCCUGGCGUUGGUUGUCCAGGUGGAAGGUUGUAGGCAUGUAUCUUAGGCAAAUCCGGGGUACUCUAUGCUGAGAACUGAUAGCAAGCUGUACUUGUACAGUGAAGUGGCUGAUACCAUACUUCCAGGAAAAGUCUCUAAGCUUCAGUUAAACAGGAAUCGUACCCGAAACCGACACAGGUGGUCAGGUCGAGUAGACCAAAGCGCUUGAGAGAACUCUGCUGAAGGAACUAGGCAAAAUGGUACCGUAACUUCGGGAGAAGGUACGCUGCCGGCGGUGAUAGGACUUGCUCCUUGAGCUGUUGGCAGCCUCAGAAACCAGGCCCCUGCAACUGUUUAUUAAAAACAUAGCACUCUGCAAACACGAAAGUGGACGUAUAGGGUGUGAUGCCUGCCCGGUGCUGGAAGGUUAAUUGAUG